rnacentral:rRNA from 1 species
UGUGGGGAAUCAGGACUGUUACUUUGAAAAAAUUAGAGUGUUUAAAGCAGGCUCACGCUUGAAUACAUUAGCAUGGAAUAAUGAAAUAGGACGUUUGAUUCUAUUUUGUUGGUUUCUAGGAUCGACGUAAUGAUUAAUAGGGAUAGUUGGGGGCAUUAGUAUUCAAUUCGUCAGAGGUGAAAUUCUUGGAUUUAUUGAAGACUAACUACUGCGAAAGCAUUUGCCAAGGAUGUUUUCAUUAAUCAAGAACGAAAGUUAGGGGAUCGAAGACGAUCAGAUACCGUCGUAGUCUUAACCAUAAACUAUGCCGACUAGGGAUCGGAUGAUGUUAAUUUUUUAAUGACUCAUUCGGCGCCUUACG